rnacentral:rRNA from 1 species
UACGUAGGGUGCAAGCGUUGUCCGGAAUUAUUGGGCGUAAAGAGCUCGUAGGCGGUUUGUUGCGUCGGCUGUGAAAUCCCGAGGCUCAACCUCGGGUCUGCAGUCGAUACGAGCAAACUAGAGUGUUGCAGGGGAGACUGGAAUUCCUGGUGUAGCGGUGAAAUGCGCAGAUAUCAGGAGGAACACCGGUGGCGAAGGCGGGUCUCUGGCCGAUACUGACGCUGAGGAGCGAAGCGUGGGAGCGAACAGG